rnacentral:rRNA from 1 species
GAUGAACGCUAGCUACAGGCUUAACACAUGCAAGUCGAGGGGUAACGAGAGGAAAGCUUGCUUUCCUUGUCGACGACCGGCGCACGGGUGAGUAACGCGUAUCCAACCUGCCCCCAACUAGGGAAUAACCUUGCGAAAGUAAGACUAAUACCCUAUAAUUUCCUCAGAUGUCAUCUGACGAGGAAUAAAGAUUUAUCGGUUGUGGAUGGGGAUGCGUCUGAUUAGCUUGUUGGCGGGGUAACGGCCCACCAAGGCAACGAUCAGUAGGGGUUCUGAGAGGAAGGUCCCCCACAUUGGAACUGAGACACGGUCCAAACUGCUACGGGAGGCAGCAGUGAGGAAUAUUGGUCAAUGGGCGGAAGCCUGAACCAGCCAAGUAGUGUGCAGGAUGACGGCCCUAUGGGUUGUAAACUGCUUUUAUACAGGAAUAAAGUUAGCCACGUGUGGUUAUUUGUAGGUACUGUAUGAAUAAGGACCGGCUAAUUCCGUGCCAGCCGCCGCGGUAA